rnacentral:sRNA from 1 species
CCGCCGGUGGGGUGGAAACAAGUGGAAGAUGCGACCCCAGUCAUAAACUAUGAUCUCUUAUAUGCCAUCUCCAAGCUGGGACCAGAUGAUUGGCUAGAGGGUGUGGCACAAAGGAACUUGUCAGGGUGAUGGAGACAUUCUGUAUCUGGAUUGAGCAAUGCAGGAACCUGGGUAAAGACACAGUGAUGGUAACAGCUGUAUACAUCUGUUGAAAAUUCAUCAAACUUAUAAUAUUUAGAAAGGUUACAUUUUGCUUCAUAUAAAGUAUGCCUCAAUAAAGUGUAUUUGAUUUUAAAAUCA